UGCUGCUUGGGCAGAGCAGUCCAUAUGGUUUCCAGAGGAAGAUUCCAAUGAGCUGAGGAUGGAGAUUCGGGCAGUACAUGGAGCCGGGAAGUUGGGAAAAAGACUCACUUCAGACCCAAGCCGACCCCGCGCAGUGGCCUUGUGACACGUCGCCCGCCUCCCGGCAUCUGUCUGUUACCACAAUGAGCUGCCCUGUUCCUGCCGAAAGCCAGACCGUCUCCAUGUACGUUGAGUCCAGACUCCUCUCGUCUGCUCCCAGACAUCACCCCGGUCAGCUGGGGGCUCUGCCACAUCUCUCUGGACUCUGUCACCCAGACCAAUAGAGGAGCCAUCAUCUUAAACGUUGCUGAUUACUGUGGCAAAGAGAAAGAAAGGCCUAGAAGGUCUCCCAUUGGCAGCCAAGUGCUCCAGCUCACCAAUGUUACACCUCACUUCUAUUCAAAAUGCCCCGCAAGGGGGCCGGCCUAUACAAUCUACUGUUUCUAAGGGCAAGAGCUGGAAGGGUUGGAGGACAGCACCCCUGUCGCCCCUAGAAAGCCUCUUUACUGAGAUGUGGCCCACAGGGAGUUUGUCAAUAAAGGAGGUUCAAAGAAGAACAGUUACCUGAAGGACGUUUCAUGUCAAGCAGAUAAGAGUUACAGAGCUCUCGGCAGUCUGCAGGGGUCCAACUUCAAGGUAAAAUGUUCAAAAUUAGUACUAGAUCAUUCACUGAUUGGUAAUAAUGAAAAAUUAAUAAAG
rnacentral:lncRNA from 1 species